UGUUGGUUCGGCGGCUCGAGGGGCCGGAACCGGCUGCGGGAGGUGAGCUGUGCCGGUACCGGCUGCGGGAGGUGCUCGGUGCUGGUACCAGCUGCAGGAGGUGAGCUGUGCCGGUACCAGCUGCGGGACGUAAUCGGUGCCGGUACUGGUACCGGCUGCGAGAGGUGCUCGGUACGGGCUGUAGGAGGUGCUCGGUGCUCAGUACCGGCCGCAGGAGGCACUCGGUGCCGGUACCGGCUGCAGGAGGUGCUCGGUGCUCAGUACCGGCUGCAGGAGGUGCCCGGUGCCGGUACCGGCCGUAGGAGGUGCUCGGUGCCCGGUGCCGGUACCGGCCGCCCAUGGGCGGGUCCCGCUCGCCGAUGCUCGGUGCCGUUCUCAUCCCCGGGCGCUCCCCGCGCGCCCCACCGGUCCCAAAGCCGCCGGACGGGAACGGUUCGGUAUCGGGACGUCGCUCCCGGUUCCGCACCCCCUCCUCACCCCCAAAAAGGGUUAAUGGCACUCGGCGAAGUUGCCGGGCGGUGGCGCGGCUCGGAUUGGCCCG
rnacentral:lncRNA from 1 species